UGGGGGAUAUUGCACAAUGGGCGAAAGCCUGAUGCAGCGACGCCGCGUGGGGGAUGAAGGCCUUCGGGUUGUAAACUUCUUUUGCUCUGAACAAGGCGCACCAUGGGGUGUGUUGAGUGUAGGGGUUGAUUAGCGCCGGCUAACUACGUGCCAGCAGCCGCGGUAAUACGUAGGGCGCGAGCGUUGUCCGGAAUUAUUGGGCGUAAAGGGCUUGUAGGUGGCUGGUUGCGUCUGUCGUGAAAGCUCAUGGCUUAACUGUGGGUUUGCGGUGGGUACUGGCUGGCUUGAGUUCAGGAGGGGAGGCUGGAAUUCCUGGUGUAGCGGUGGAAUGCGCAGAUAUCAGGAGGAAUACCGGUGGCGAAGGCGGGUCUCUGGGCUGUUACUGACACUGAGGAGCGAAAGCAUGGGGAGCGAACAGG
rnacentral:rRNA from 1 species